rnacentral:lncRNA from 1 species
CUCAACUCCAUGCCCAGCCCUAUUAUGGGCACCACAGGACUUCGUAUUGCCCGGCCCUAUUAUGGGCACCACAGGACUUCGUAUAUAGAAGGCUAAUGAAUCAUCCUAAUGUCCAUCCACUAUCAUCUAUCACAAUCAAUACAAUGCGGCAUAGUCGUGAAUUCUAAUGCAACAACCUAUAAUAUGAUCAUGAUGCAUGAAACAUGAUAAAGGCAUUUCAU